rnacentral:rRNA from 1 species
UAAGGGAUCUUGCGACAAUGGGCGAAAGCCUGACGCAGCAACGCCGCGUGCGGGAUGACGGCCUUCGGGUUGUAAACCGCUUUUCGGGGGGAAGAGGAAGGACGGUACCCCCGGAAGAAGUCUCGGCUAACUACGUGCCAGCAGCCGCGGUAAAACGUAGGAGGCGAGCGUUAUCCGGAUUUACUGGGUGUAAAGCGCGUGCAGGCGGUUCUGCAAGUGGGACGUGAAAGCGCCCGGCUCAACCGGGCGAGGACGUACCGAACUGCGGGCUAGAGGCAGGGAGAGGCGUGUGGAAUUCCGGGUGUAGUGGUGAAAUGCGUAGAGAUCCGGAGGAACACCAGUGGCGAAGGCGACACGCUGGGCCUGGCCUGACGCUCAGACGCGAAAGCAUGGGGAGCGAACGG